rnacentral:rRNA from 1 species
UACGGAGGAGGCUAGCGUUGUUCGGAAUUACUGGGCGUAAAGCGUGCGUAGGCGGUUUUCUAAGAUGAGUGUGAAAGCCCGGAGCUCAACUCCGGAACUGCGCUCAUGACUGGAAUACUGGAGUCCGAGAGAGGUGAGUGGAAUUCCCAGUGUAGAGGUGAAAUUCGUAGAUAUUGGGAAGAACACCAGUGGCGAAGGCGGCUCACUGGCUCGGUACUGACGCUGAUGCACGAAAGCGUGGGGAGCAAACAGG